rnacentral:rRNA from 1 species
UGGGGAAUAUUGGACAAUGGGUGAGAGCCUGAUCCAGCCAUGCCGCGUGCAGGAAGAAGGCCUUCUGGGUUGUAAACUGCUUUUUGCCAGGGGAUAAAAUUUCCAUGCGUGGAGAAUUGAAGGUACCUGGUGAAUAAGCCACGGCUAACUACGUGCCAGCAGCCGCGGUAAUACGUAGGGACCAAGCGUUGUUCGGAUUUACUGGGCGUAAAGGGCGCGUAGGCGGCAAUUCAAGUCAUCUGUGAAAUCUCCGGGCUUAACUCGGAACGGUCAGAUGAUACUGCUUUGCUAGAGUGCAGAAGGGGCAAUCGGAAUUCUUGGUGUAGCGGUGAAAUGCGUAGAUAUCAAGAGGAACACCUGAGGUGAAGACGGGUUGCUGGGCUGACACUGACGCUGAGGCGCGAAAGCCAGGGGAGCAAACGGGAUUAGAUACCCAAGUAGUCCCUGAGCGGGCUGGCAAGGCGCAU